CACUCCUGCGGGAGGCAGCAGUGGGGAAUUUUGGACAAUGGGCGAAAGCCUGAUCCAGCAAUGCCGCGUGAGUGAAGAAGGCCUUCGGGUUGUAAAGCUCUUUUGUCAGGGAAGAAACGGUGAAAGCUAAUAUCUUUUGCUAAUGACGGUACCUGAAGAAUAAGCACCGGCUAACUACGUGCCAGCAGCCGCGGUAAUACGUAGGGUGCAAGCGGUAAUCGGAAUUACUGGGCGUAAAGCGUGCGCAGGCGGUUUUGUAAGUCUGAUGUGAAAUCCCCGGGCUCAACCUGGGAAUUGCAUUGGAGACUGCAAGGCUAGAAUCUGGCAGAGGGGGGUAGAAUUCCACGUGUAGCAGUGAAAUGCGUAGAUAUGUGGAGGAACACCGAUGGCGAAGGCAGCCCCCUGGGUCAAGAUUGACGCUCAUGCACGAAAGCGUGGGGAGCAAACAGGAUUAGAAACCCCUGUAGUCCC
rnacentral:rRNA from 1 species